rnacentral:rRNA from 1 species
AGUGAACGCUGGCGGUAGGCCUAACACAUGCAAGUCGAACGGCAGCACAGUAAGAGCCUGCUCUUACGGGUGGCGAGUGGCGGACGGGUGAGGAAUACAUCGGAAUCUACUUUUUCGUGGGGGAUAACGUAGGGAAACUUACGCUAAUACCGCAUACGACCUACGGGUGAAAGCAGGGGAUCUUCGGACCUUGCGCGAUUGAAUGAGCCGAUGUCGGAUUAGCUAGUUGGCGGGGUAAAGGCCCACCAAGGCGACGAUCCGUAGCUGGUCUGAGAGGAUGAUAAGCCACACUGGAACUGAGACACGGUCCAGACUCCUACGGGAGGCAGCAGUGGGGAAUAUUGGACAAUGGGCGCAAGCCUGAUCCAGCCAUACCGCGUGGGUGAAGAAGGCCUUCGGGUUGUAAAGCCCUUUUGUUGGGAAAGAAAAGCAGCAGGUUAAUACCCCGCUGUUCUGACGGUACCCAAAGAAUAAGCACCGGCUAACUUCGUG